UUGAAAAUAUUUAUUAAAACUUUGUUUUUUAAAAAACAACAUUAAUAUUACACAAAAAUUUACAAAAAAGUUAAUAAGUUAAUUUGAGAGAACAAAACAAUUAUAUUAAAUUAAAAAAAAAUCUAUAAAAUCAGUGCAAAUAAAAAUAUACAAUAAGAAUUAUACAUACAUAUAAAACGGUAUGUAGAAGCAAGAAUUUUUUUUUCAAAAAAAUUAAUCACCCAAUCGCAUCAACAAUUCUAUUUUUGAAAUCGCCCAACGUUUCUAAACAUACGAGGAGUGUAAAAAAAUUCCUUUGACACAGAAUACGAAACGUAUUAUCAAUUUUUUGUUUUUAAUUAAAAAAUAUAACCAGAUCUAAGAUAUCAAAAUUGUUUUUCGUAUGAAGAUAACGGAAAAAAAAAUUUGAUAAAUUUAAAAAUGGAAUUUUUGAUAUCACCAGAUGAAAUAUUUGAAUUGGCACUUUUAGUGUCGAUAACAUGAACGAAGGAAGCAGACAGCUGUAUAUUAAAUGCCCAUUUUCCUAAACAUCUCUUCGAAAAAAUAUCUACACUAUACAGUAAGUAACAAUUUGGGUCUUGAAAUAUACAUUAAAUAAUUAAUAUAAAUUUAGGGACUUUAUAAAACGUAUAACAAUAUUCAAAAAUUUAUAUAAAGUACGAAAGUACACAUCAUGAAUGGUCAUUUUAGAAAAAAAAUAUCGAGUAGCUGGACUCAGGCGAAAUUGUAUUUUUUUUUCAAGUAAAAUUUUGAAGCUAAUUGUACAAGCUUCAAAAUGAUAUUAAAUUUUCUUCAAUUUUUCUCGCUCCAACAGCCCAACAACUUAUUUAAGCUUGUUCACUAACCUAACCUAACUUUAUAAUAGUGCUGAUUAGGGAUAACUGAACCUUAUAAAACGUUAUUAACCUUAACCGAUACACAUUCCCGUUAAACAACAGACAAGAAUUCAAACUGAAUUUUUCGAAAAAAAAUGAUUCUUUCAUGAUAUGUACCCAUUUCUACGCAUUUAAGGAAGCCAUUUUUAAUUACUACUUAUUAGGAAAAAUUGCUAACAAUCGGAAGAUACGGGGUGGCGUUUAAAAAUAAUUGCAUAUGAAGCAAAGUGCAAAAUGUACGAAAUAUAAAGGACGUCAUUUUUAUAAUAAUAUAUACAAAUAUUUGUGCUACUAUAUAAGAGCUACCGAUAUUUAUGGAACACCCCGUUUAUAUCUAAAAAAUAUAGAUACUAUAUAUAUAGAUCAUUAAUAUAGUAAUUUUUCAAAAUACUUUCAACUAUAUUGCCAUAUUUUUAUUUAUAUAAUUUUAUCCGUACGUAUAUAAUCUGGUCAAAAAAUAUACCUCCCAACUCCAACACGUAUUAUUGCUUGUUUACUAAUAAAAAAAAAAGAAAAUAUUUUUUACCCUGACGCGAUACUCGACGAUCGCCCUAAUUUGUACUCCACACACAACCGCAGGGGAUAAUAAAAUAUUUCCAAAUGAAAACUUUACGUAUACCCCCGGUAGUUGACGUAUUAUUUAUUUUGUAUAGGGAAGUAUUAAGGGUAAUAUUGAUUGUCUUACAGAACUAUAAUUAACAUUAAAAUCUAGUAUUUAGAGAUAUCUAAAAUCAAACAGUGAAAUAUAAAACCCCGACGAAUUUUAAAGUAAUUCAGUAUUUAGAAUGAAAUGCCUUAAUAACUAAAUCGAUAUUAAUCCACUGAUUUAUAGAAUUCUAUACUUUGUUAAGUGAUUAAAAAACGUAUUCUGCAGUUAUUUGUAAUAUGCGUAAAAGUAAGGUUAUUACUUUUCUUCUUCUUCUUUGUGGUGAUGGGCUCAACCCUUAGACUAUCCACCCAGACUAAGUUAAGAUUCCAUAAGAUUUGAUCUAACUGUCUAGAAAUGCGAAUAUUAUCGCGUCUGACUCAUAGUCAUCACUCCUUCCAGCCAUCUGAAGGUUAUUACUUUUCUUAUAUCACAUCAAUAAGAAUCGAAACAAAAAAGAAGAGCUACAAUCACAUGCUUAAUAAAAAGUUGCCGAAAGUUCUGUUUUAUCGAAAAUUAUUACAUUAGGAAAAAGAAGAAAUAAAAUGUUGACAGUUCCUUGUAAAUAUAAUGUUUACAUGUGGAUAUCACGGUACGAUAAAUAAUUAAACAAAAGUAGUUAUAGUGAGGUUAUGAUAAUUGUUAAGUUGAUAUUGGAUUUAAAUCAAUUUUUAUAAGAUACGUCAGGGACAUGAAGUCGGUUCACUGGAAGCGCACCGCCUUAUUAUAGAGGGAUCGACAUUUAAACGCGACGCUAAUAAAUAAUUAUCGUCGCCUAUAGGUGCAGCUCUGCAAGAAAAAAAAAUAACAAAUUGUAUUUAUUAAAAAAACUAUGAAACAUUUAAAAAUUAAUUAUUAAAAUUGAAAAAAUAAAUUCGAUUUUAAACAAAAAGUGUAUCAAAACGAAAUUAUUAAUCUCCUUUAUCUAUGAAGAAAUCUUAGUGUACAUUUUGACCACAAUGGCGCUAGUGUAUCAAACAUCGAAGUAGUAAUAGACGAAUGAUUGUAUAAGAAUCGAUUAAUCGAUAUUUUCAACCUUGUGUCAAAAUAUUCGAACGUGUAUUUAAAACUUUACAUAACCUAAAAUUAACUACUGAAUAUUAAUAGUGAAUUUUUGCAAGUUUUUUGUGAAGUGUUUGUUCAACAAAAUAAAAAAAUUUGUUUAGUGACAAGUUAUAAUAGUGAAAGCAAAACGAAGAGCAAUUCAAUUGAUAAACUUUAUCUUUCUUUCGGGUAUGUAAAUGCAAAUUAGAGGUAAACAAACAAUUUCUUCGUGAAUUUAGGAAUUUUAAGGAAAAUUUUGAAAAAAUAUUUGGACAUUGAAUUGAAACCUACUAUAAAAAAUGAAUAAUCAACUUUUAUCGAAAGAAUAUUGAUAUAAGUGUUAUUAAAAUAAUAGAUGUAAAAUUUGGAAACAAAAAUUAGAUAUAUACAGGGUGGUUAAUUUAAAGUAAAUCAUUUAAAUAUUAAAAA